GGCGAGAGGAGGUAGUAAAGACAAAUAUCGAUACAGAACUCUUAUGAGGUACUGUAAUCGAAAUGAGUGCAUUAUAAAUCCUACAACAAGGAUCUAUUGGAGGGCAAGUCUGGUGCCAGCAGCCGCGGUAACUCCAGCUCCAAUAGCAUAUAUUAAAAUUGCUGCAGUUAAAAAGCUCGUAGUUGGAUCUGGGUUCUGGUUUGGAGAUUGCUUGUUCUUAGUGGAGUGUUCUGCACGAAGCUUUGAUCAGUGGUAUAUCUAGGCCGAAUCUUCCAGCUGUGUCUGCAUAGGGCUUCGGCUCUGUGUAGAUAGAUUCGUUGUGUGUAAGUACCCUACCAGGUCUUCGCCUUCGUUUCUAUACGCUGUAAUGCCUUUUAUCGGGUGUUCAGUGUGGACAGCACGUUUACUUUGAACAAAUUUGAGUGCUCAAAGCAGGCCUUGUU
rnacentral:rRNA from 1 species